rnacentral:rRNA from 1 species
GGAUGCGAUCACCAGCACUAAUGCACCGGAUCCCAUCAGAACUCCGAAGUUAAGCGUGCUUGGGCGAGAGUAGUACUAGGAUGGGUGACCCCCUGGGAAGUCCUCGUGUUGCAUCCC